GAUGAACGCUAGCGGCAGGCUUAACACAUGCAAGUCGAGGGGUAGAGGAAGCUUGCUUCCUUGAGACCGGCGCACGGGUGCGUAACGCGUAUACAAUCUACCUUUUACAGAGGGAUAGCCCCAGAGAAAUUUGGAUUAAUACCUCAUAGUAUUUUCGAAUCGCAUGGUUUGAUUAUUAAAGUUCCAACGGUAAAAGAUGAGUAUGCGUCCCAUUAGCUAGAUGGUAAGGUAACGGCUUACCAUGGCAAUGAUGGGUAGGGGUCCUGAGAGGGAGAUCCCCCACACUGGUACUGAGACACGGACCAGACUCCUACGGGAGGCAGCAGUGAGGAAUAUUGGACAAUGGGCGCAAGCCUGAUCCAGCCAUGCCGCGUGCAGGAUGACGGUCCUAUGGAUUGUAAACUGCUUUUGUACGAGAAGAAACAACAUUACGUGUAAUGUCUUGACGGUAUCGUAAGAAUAAGGAUCGGCUAACUCCGUGCCAGCAGCCG
rnacentral:rRNA from 1 species